UCCAAAUUCGUUAUAGGUAAUAUUUUCCAAGACCAUUGCUUAUCUUUUUUACUUGUUUUACAUUUUCCCCCACAUAAUACAAACGAGAUCCGAAUCACUUGUUGUUAAACUGUCACCCGACCUUCUAGUCUAGUUCCAAAUUCAUUAUAGAUUAAUUUUUCAUAGACUAUUGUUUAUCCUUUUUACUUGUUUUACAUUUUUUACCCACAUGAUACAAAUGAGAUCCGAAUCCAUUGUUUUGAAACUGUCAACACGAUUGGUCUUUAUUUUCAGGAUAUUUCUACAUUACGUGUUAUAGUCGCGUCAAAAGCUUUCCGUUCUUACCUUUAAAAAGAUACAGAAAAAAAUGACAAAAAAAGUAUUGUCUUAGUUUGAGGUUCGUUGUGGUAAUUAUUUUAAUGUGAAGGCGAUUUUAAUCAAUUCAGGAAAGCAAACAAAUAACUCCCGACAAAAGGGAUUGAUUGACGUUUGUUGGGAUAUUGUUGAACUUGAUUUGGUCCCAGUGCUUAAAAUUUCUCGAUCCUUUAUGGGUUGAUGCGAUUGUCAUACAAGUUAGCGCUAUAAAACCAGGUUCAAUCCACCAUUUCCUACAUUUGAAAAUGCCUGUACCAAGUCAGGAAUAUGACAGUUCUUGUCCAUUCGUUUUUGAUGCGUUUUGUUAUUUGAUUUUGCCAUGUGAUUAUGGACUUUCCGAAUUGAUUUUCCUCUGAGUUCAGUAUUUUUGUGAUUUUACUUUUUAAGACUGAUUAACAAAAACCGGAAUAAUAUCAAAUUAUUUUUUAUGGAAAAUCCAAUACAAAUCGUAUUUAAAAAUAAGUAGGACAACUCUUUCAAAAAGGUUUUUGUUGUUGUCCAGUGUUUUUCUUUUCCCGUUGUUUCCCUCUCAUAGUUGAUAUUUUUCUCACGGUUUCAGUUUGUUAUCCGAAUUAGUUUUUGCUUUCGACUAAUAAACAGCAGUAUACUACUGUUGCCUUGAUUUAUAGAGACAUGUGUUUUACUGGCCUUAAUAUGAGCUUGUCGGUAUAGAACCUCUUAGUUGACACGGUUAAAAAAACUUAAGACAAAAUGGAAUAAUAUAAACGGUAGCAUUUUUUUCUGCACCAGAUGCGCAUUUUGUAAAUCAUUGUAUCUUCAGUAAUUCUCGAGGCAAAACUAUAAGAAAAUCCAAAGCUCAUUAAAUGAAAGAGGGACUAUAAACUAAAAAAGGACAGAAAAGAAUAGUCAAAUGCUGGACACAUUCUAAAUAGAUGAGUCUGUACACAUAGCUGUAAAUCUCGCAAUAAAUACAAUAUGUGGGUAAUGUGUGUAUCUAAUGAAGCUUUUGAUCACUGUAAACCCUUGUUGAAAUUUUCUUUUGAAUAAUAAAAAGAUGUAUGAAAUUGUAUUCGAGGGUAUAUUUACCAUGUUGCAUCCGAUGUGUUUGUGUAUUACCAAUCAAUUUGUUAUGUCCAAAGUACCGUUUUACGUCUACAUAAGACUCAUCAGUGACGCUCAUAUGAAAAUAUUUAUUAAGCCAAACAAGUAAAAAGUCGAAGAGCAUUGAGGAUUCAAAAUUCUAAAAAGUUGUGCCAAAUACGUCUAAGGUAAUCUAUGCCUGGGGUAAGAAAAUCCUUAGUUUUUCGAAAAAUUCAAAGUUUUGUUAACAGUAAAUUUGUAAAAAUGACCACAUUAUUGAUAUUCAUGUCAACACCGAAGUGUCAGGAUUAGGUAUUAUCUUCAUAUAAAUGACUGUCACUUUAUUUGAACUUAAGACAGACUUACUAUCAAUGCAUGAAAUUGAAAAAACUUCGCACAAAAAGCAAUAGGAUUACUUUGCGAAUUAGCUGUUUUAUUCCUUUAAUUAUCUGUGCAGCUAAUAAUUUAAUCUUUCAUAUACUUAUUUGAAUUAUGUUGUGUUUCAGGAUACUUUUAACUCAAUCAUAACAUAGAAUGGAAUUUCAUGGAUGCAGUUAUAAAUUUCCACAAUCAUCAAGACUAGUAUUUGGCAAACAAACAGAAUUAACACAUCAGUAUAGUACUUCUAUUAGUUGAACUAUGUUUUUGUUUCAUUUUUCCUUAAGCAGUGUAUGAACCUUCCCGUUACUGUUUAUGUGUUGCGUAUAUUUAAAUUAACACUUUUUAGUACUUGGACAGGUAAAACGAAAAUUUGAAAAUAAAAAAGACAGGAAUACACAUACAAACAGCACCAGAUUUUUUGACAAUCAAGCUAGUAAAGGUAAAUUCAGAUAGUGAGAACUCCUGUGUGCGUUAUAUAGAACCUUCAAGAGACAGUGUAACAUAUUUCAUUCAGAAAAGAAAAGGUAAGGUAUCAGUGAAUCACGUUCAACGGUUGUGAAUUAAAGACAAGCAUGAUAAAUAUCGAAUCAUCUCAAGUUAUAAGUCAACUACUGAUUUUGGAGAAGGUCGUACCAAUUAAUGAUACGGUAGGGAUAACACCGGUAGCAGUAGCAAAACUAAGCGAUAUUUCGUUCUUAUGUUGUACUGUUAUUACACUGUCCCAGCUUAGAGAGAGGGUUGGGAUCCCGCUAACAUGUUUAACCCCGUCACAUUAAUUAUUUAUGUGCCUGUUUCAAGUCAGUAGUCUGUAAUUCAGUGGUUGUCGUUUGUUUAUGUGUUACAUAUUUGUUUUUUC
rnacentral:lncRNA from 1 species